rnacentral:rRNA from 1 species
UACGUAGGGUGCAAGCGUUAAUCGGAAUUACUGGGCGUAAAGCGUGCGCAGGCGGUUGUGCAAGACCGAUGUGAAAUCCCCGGGCUCAACCUGGGAACUGCAUUUGUGACUGCACAGCUUGAGUGCGGCAGAGGGGGAUGGAAUUCCGCGUGUAGCAGUGAAAUGCGUAGAUAUGCGGAGGAACACCGAUGGCGAAGGCAGUCCCCUGGGCCUGUACUGACGCUCAUGCACGAAAGCGUGGGGAGCGAACAGG